AAGUCGUAACAAGGUUUCCGUAGGUGAACCUGCGGAAGGAUCAUUAAUGGGGGCCAGCCCGAGUGCGCGCGUAAGCGCGUGCGAGGGCUGGUGUAGCACCGGGCACGUGUGCAACGCACGCGUGCAUAACCACACUCUGUGCGACCACGUGUCGCACAACCAAACAAAAAAACUUUUUUCUGGCAACACAAACACAAGAAAUCAUACACUCUCACCAAUGGAUCUCUUGGCUCCC
rnacentral:misc_RNA from 1 species